GACGAACGCUGGUGGCGUGCCUAAUACAUGCAAGUAGAACGCUGAAGGAGGAGCUUGCUCUUCUGGAUGAGUUGCGAACGGGUGAGUAACGCGUAGGUAACCUGCCUGGUAGCGGGGGAUAACUAUUGGAAACGAUAGCUAAUACCGCAUAACAGUAGAUGUUGCAUGACAUUUGCUUAAAAGGUGCAAUUGCACCACUACCAGAUGGACCUGCGUUGUAUUAGCUAGUUGGUGGGGUAACGGCUCACCAAGGCGACGAUACAUAGCCGACCUGAGAGGGUGAUCGGCCACACUGGGACUGAGACACGGCCCAGACUCCUACGGGAGGCAGCAGUAGGGAAUCUUCGGCAAUGGACGGAAGUCUGACCGAGCAACGCCGCGUGAGUGAAGAAGGUUUUCGGAUCGUAAAGCUCUGUUGUAAGAGAAGAACGAGUGUGAGAGUGGAAAGUUCACACUGUGACGGUAUCUUACCAGAAAGGGACGGCUAACUACGUG
rnacentral:rRNA from 1 species